UGCGUAGGUGGUUUCUUAAGUCAGAGGUGAAAGGCUACGGCUCAACCGUAGUAAGCCUUUGAAACUGGGAAACUUGAGUGCAGGAGAGGAGAGUGGAAUUCCUAGUGUAGCGGUGAAAUGCGUAGAUAUUAGGAGGAACACCAGUUGCGAAGGCGGCUCUCUGGACUGUAACUGACACUGAGGUACGAAAGCGUGGGGAGCAAACA
rnacentral:rRNA from 1 species